CACUAGACUAGCCGAGGUGCCCUCUGAUCUUCCCCUGAAGUGAGCCAAAUUUCCCCCAAAUUUAUCUGGCUUUCGGGCCCGAAUUGUAAUUUGUAAAGGAUGCUUUUGGCGCGGUGCCUUCCCCGUUCCCUGGNNCGGGACGCCUUNGNAGGGUGAGAGCCCCGUACGGUUGGAUACCUAGCCUCUGUAAAGCUCCUUCGACGAGUCGAGUAGUUUGGGAAUGCUGCUCUAAAUGGGAGGUAAAUUUCUUCUAAAGCUAAAUACCGGCCCAAGACCGAUAGCGCACAAGUAGAGUGAUCGAAAGAUGAAAAGCACUUUGAAAAGAGGGUUAAAUAGCACGUGAAAUUGUUGAAAGGGAAGCGUUUGCGACCAGACUUUUUCCGGGCGGAUCAUCCGGUGUUCUCACCGGUGCACUUCGCCUGGUUUAGGCCAGCAUCGGUUUUCGUGGGGGGAUAAAAGCUUCGGGAAUGUGGCUCCUUCGGGAGUGUUAUAGCCCUCUGCAUAAUACCCUCCGGGGGACCGAGGAUCGCGCUCUGCAAGGAUGCUGGCGUAAUGGUCAUCAACGACCCCUCUUGAAACACGGACCAAGGAGUCGAACAUUUGUGCGAGUGUUUGGGUGUUAAACCCUCCCGCGUAAUGAAAGUGAACGGAGGUGAAAGCCUUUCGGGGUGUUGAUCGACCGAUCCUGAUGUUUUCGGAUGGAUUUGANUAAGAGCAUAACUGUUCGGACCCGAAAGAUGGUGAACAUAUGCUUGGAUAGGGUGAAGCCAGAGGAAACUCUGGUGGAGGCUCCGCAGCGGUUCUGACGUGCAAAUCGAUCAUCAAAUCUGCNGCAUGGGGGCGAAAGACUAAUCGAACCAUCUAGUAGCUGGUUACCGCCGAAGUAUCCCUCCGGAAAAAACGAAGGGUAAAAUUUUCAUCCCU
rnacentral:rRNA from 1 species